GCGAGAGUGGCGGAAUUGGCAGACGCGCUAGACUUAGGAUCUAGUAUCCGUAGGAUGUGGGGGUUCGAGUCCCCCCUUUCGUACUA
rnacentral:tRNA from 1 species